CUGUGUUGGAAAACAUUAUGAGGUGUAAAUAGAUGCACCCACUGACAUCUGAUGGUGAGAUGUAGCAGUAUGUGUUUGUGUCUGUGGUUCUAUCUGAGACAACAGAGUUUCGUGCCCACUGUUGCUUCAGUUUCACGUUCUUGGCUGAAAUGAGUGGAACAAGAUGUAGUCUUUGGCUGUUGUAGCACAUCCACCUCAAGAAGUGGUGCUCACUGGAAGUUUUUUGGGUUUUCACACCACAUUCAGGAAACCAUUCUGCAUGAAAAACCCAGGAGUUUCUGAACUACUCAAACCAGCCGUCUGGCAGCCUCUCCCAUUGGUCAAAGUCACAAAGAUCACACUUUUAUCUAUUCUGAUGUUUGACGUUUACAUGAACUGAAGCUCUUGCCAUGUAUCUGCAUGAUUGCACUUCCCUAAUGAAGUGGUCGGUGAAAGUAUUUGCUCAAGAAUAAGCACUUUUACCUUACAAUAUAUCUGAUCUUAUGGGAUUUGCCUCAAAUGAGAUCUGCUCCAGCUAUAUUUGUUCAAUCAAAUUCAUAGGUUUAGACUUUCACACGCUCAUGCACUCAUUCCUAACUAACCAUGUCGCUUUCAGUGAAUGUCUCACCAAUAAAAAUUCUCUCCAAUUAAAUAAUGCAUGUGUCUUUAAAACUUGCAUGAAGUCGUGGAGCCUGUUUAGUGCGUAAUUUAAUCAGAGGACGUUUGGGCCUGAGAGGCUGGAAUUUCUGGUAGCUGCUAGAUGGCACUGUUGGUCUUUCAAAUCUUCGAGUUCAGCAGAAUUACCUCCUUAAAUACACUGGUUAAGAUUGUAGGUCUGACCGCUACACCAUAGCACCUCGACAUGAGCUUUUUUAUGUUUCCCCCCUGAAAUCGUAUACUUCAAGCAACAUGCAACGAUUCCUCGGUAAUGAAGAGUUUAUUUACAUUUACUUAAAGCAAUAAAAGCCAUUAUCAUAGAGCAAUAUAUUAGAUGAAUCAGCACAGGGUUUUAGAUAUUAAUUAAAAAAAAAAACAACAACAGCAGAGAUGAACAAUGUGUGUUAGAUGGGUUGCC